ACUCCUACGGGAGGCAGCAGUAGGGAAUCUUCCACAAUGGGCGCAAGCCUGAUGGAGCAACACCGCGUGAGUGAAGAAGGGUUUCGGCUCGUAAAGCUCUGUUGUUAAAGAAGAACACGUAUGAGAGUAACUGUUCAUACGUUGACGGUAUUUAACCAGAAAGUCACGGCUAACUACGUGCCAGCAGCCGCGGUAAUACGUAGGUGGCAAGCGUUAUCCGGAUUUAUUGGGCGUAAAGAGAGUGCAGGCGGUUUUCUAAGUCUGAUGUAAAAGCCUUCGGCUUAACCGGAGAAGUGCAUCGGAAACUGGAUAACUUGAGUGCAGAAGAGGGUAGUGGAACUCCAUGUGUAGCGGUGGAAUGCGUAGAUAUAUGGAAGAACACCAGUGGCGAAGGCGGCACCUGGUCUGCAACUGACGCUGAGACUCGAAAGCAUGGGUAGCGAACAGGAUUAGAUACCCUGGUAGGAUAGCG
rnacentral:rRNA from 1 species